CCCGCCUAGAGGGCGGGGGGACGAGGGAGGCGGCGGGCUUUAAAUGGGGGGCCCGUCGGCGCCUCCGGAGCCGUGUCUGCAGCAGGGUGGGGGGGAGCGCUGACCUCCCUCCCCCGCGGCGAGCGUCCACCCGGGCCGCCUCCAGGCAAGGUGGGCCCGGAGAGCGGGCGCCCAGGGCCGGCCGAGAUGCUCCUGCGGGACCUGGUGCUGGGCCCAGGCUGCUGCUGGCCGUCGCUGCUGCUGCACUGCGCGCUGCACCCGCUCUGGGGCCUCGUGCAGGUGACACGUGGCGAGCCCCAGAAGUCCUGCUCCAAGGUGACCGUCAGCUGUCAACACAUCUGCCAGUGCCGGCCCCCACCCCCGCUGCCCCCUCCCCCACCACCCCCGCCGCCCCCCAGGCUCCUCUUGGCUCCAGCUCCCAACUCUACCUCGUGCCCGGCGGAGGAGAGCUGGUGGUCAGGCCUGGCGAUCAUUAUUGCCGUAUGCUGUGCCUCCCUGGUCUUCCUCACUGUGCUUGUCAUCAUUUGCUACAAAGCCAUCAAAAGGAACCAGGCCACGUAGCAUGCGCCCAGGGAGAUGGGCCUCUGGGCGCUAGAGGGAGCAGCCGGGUCUGUCUGGCAUUUCUGGAAUCCCCCAGGGUGCGCAGAAACCACUGAGAAAGGAGGAGAACGGUACGGGCGUUGCUGAGUACCCCAUGACGUCCUCGCAGAGCAGCAAAGGCGUGGACGUGAACAGUGCGGUGGUGUGACCCCCCUAGAGACACAGCCGGGGGCACUCGUGGACACGGGAAAGCGGAGCCGAUGCCGGCAUGGGCCAGGAUGUCGUGACCUCGAACCUUGGGAAGAAGAGACCAUCCUCCUGGACGUUGGGAACCUGGUCACCUGGGCAGCACCAGCGUGGGGCUGUCUCGCCAUUCUUCUUGGGCUGUGGCUGGCCAGCUGUCUCCCCACAGCUGCCUGAAGACAGCCUGUCCAUCUGUCUGUGUCUGUCUGUCUGUCUGCUGCAGCAGGAAGGUCCCUUCAGCCCAAAGAUGAGCAAGGCAGGGCCGAGCACUGCAGAAAACCACCCU